rnacentral:rRNA from 1 species
GCAUAUCAAUAAGCGGAGGAAAAGAAACCAACAGGGAUUGCCUCAGUAACGGCGAGUGAAGCGGCAACAGCUCAAAUUUGAAAUCUGGCCCCCCGGGCCCGAGUUGUAAUUUGCAGAGGAUGCUUUUGGCGCGGUCCCCUCCGAGUCCCCUGGAAUGGGGCGCCACAGAGGGUGAGAGCCCCGUAUGGUCGGAGACCAAGCCUUUGUAAAGCUCCCUCGACGAGUCGAGUAGUUUGGGAAUGCUGCUCAAAAUGGGAGGUAAAUUUCUUCUAAAGCUAAAUACUGGCCAGAGACCGAUAGCGCACAAGUAGAGUGAUCGAAAGAUGAAAAGCACUUUGAAAAGAGGGUUAAACAGCACGUGAAAUUGUUGAAAGGGAAGCGCUUGUGACCAGACUUGCGCCGGGCGGAUCAUCCAGCGUUCUCCGCUGGUGCACUCCGUCCGGCUCAGGCCAGCAUCGGUCUCCGGCGGGGGACAAAAGCUCCGGGAACGUGGCCUCUUCUUAGAGGUGUUAUAGCCCGGCUGCAGAAUACCCCGCCUCGGGGACCGAGGACCGCGCCCUCCGGGGCAAGGAUGCUGGCGUAAUGGUCAUCAGCGACCCGUCUUGAAACACGGACCAAGGAGUCGAGCAUUAGGGCGAGUGUAUGGGUGUAAAACCCGCACGCGUAAUGAAAGUGAACGUGGGUGAGAAGCUUUUCUUUCACGAGAAGCCGCAUCAUCGACCGAUCCUGAAGUCUUCGGAUGGAUUUGAGUAGGAGCCUUAACGCUCGGACCCGAAAGAUGGUGAACUAUGCCUGGAUAGGGUGAAGCCAGAGGAAACUCUGGUGGAGGCUCGCAGCGGUUCUGACGUGCAAAUCGAUCGUCAAAUUUGGGCAUAGGGGCGAAAGACUAAUCGAACCAUCUAGUAGCUGGUUACCGCCGA